GUUUGUUUCUGACACUGAAUACACCCAAUCUCAUCGGAUCUGCAAAGCUAAGCAGGGUUGGGCCUGGUUAGUAUUUGGAUGGGAGACUACCUGGGAAUACCAGGUGCUGUAAGCU
rnacentral:rRNA from 1 species